rnacentral:rRNA from 1 species
GAUGAACGCUGGCGACGUGCUUAACACAUGCAAGUCGAACGGAAAGGCCUCUUUCGGGGGGUACUCGAGUGGCGAACGGGUGAGUAACACGUGAGUAACCUGCCCUUGACUUUGGGAUAACUUCAGGAAACUGGGGCUAAUACCGGAUAGGAGCUCCUGCUGCAUGGUGGGGGUUGGAAAGUUUCGGCGGUUGGGGAUGGACUCGCGGCUUAUCAGCUUGUUGGGGGGGUAGUGGCUUACCAAGGCUUUGACGGGUAGCCGGCCUGAGAGGGUGACCGGCCACAUUGGGACUGAGAUACGGCCCAGACUCCUACGGGAGGCAGCAGUGGGGAAUAUUGCACAAUGGGUGGAAGCCUGAUGCAGCAACGCCGUGUGCGGGAUGACGGCCUUCGGGUUGUAAACCGCUUUCGCUCAUGACGAAGCUUUGUGUGACGGUAGUGGGUAAAGAAGCACCGGCUAACUACGUG